UACGAAGGGGGCUAGCGUUGCUCGGAAUUACUGGGCGUAAAGCGCACGUAGGCGGAUUGUUAAGUCGGGGGUGAAAUCCUGGAGCUCAACUCCAGAACUGCCUUCGAUACUGGCGAUCUCGAGUUCGGGAGAGGUGAGUGGAGCUGCGAGUGUAUAGGUGAAAUUCGUAGAUAUUCGCAAGAACACCAGUGGCGAAGGCGGCUCACUGGCCCGAUACUGACGCUGAGGUGCGAAAGCGUGGGGAGCAAACAGG
rnacentral:rRNA from 1 species